AUCUGCCUACGGGGGGCAGCAGUGGGGGAUAUUGCACAAUGGGCGAAAGUCUGAUGCAGCGACGCCGCGUGAGGGAAGACGGUCUUCGGAUUGUAAACCUCUGUCUUUGGGGAAGAAGAUGACGGUACCCAAAGAGGAAGCUCCGGCUAACUACGUGCCAGCAGCCGCGGUAAUACGUAGGGAGCGAGCGUUGUCCGGAAUUACUGGGUGUAAAGGGAGCGUAGGCGGGGAUGCAAGUUGGAUGUUUAAACUAUCGGCUCAACCGGUAAUUGCAACCAAAACUGCAACUCUUGAGUGGGCGAGAA
rnacentral:rRNA from 1 species